rnacentral:misc_RNA from 1 species
GAUGAAGAACGCAGCGAAAUGCGAUAAGUAAUGUGAAUUGCAGAAUUCAGUGAAUCAUCGAAUGUUUGAACGCUCAUUGCGACCGCCAGUAUUCUGGCGGGCAUGCCUGUUCGAGCGUCAUUACAACCCUCAGGCCCCCGGGCCUGGCGUUGGGGAUCGGCGGAAGCCCCCUGCGGGCACAACGCCGUCCCCCAAAUACAGUGGCGGUCCCGCCGCAGCUUCCAUUGCGUAGUAGCUAACACCUUGCCACUGGAGAGCGGCGCGGCCACGCCGUAAAACACCCAACUUCUGAAUGUUGACCUCGAAUCAGGUAGGAAUACCCGCUGAACUUAAGCAUAUCAAUAAGCGGAGGA